rnacentral:rRNA from 1 species
GACGUAGGGCGCGAGCGUUGUCCGGAUUUAUUGGGCGUAAAGCGCUCGUAGGCGGCUUGUCGCGUCGACUGUGAAAACCCGCGGCUCAACUGCGGGCCUGCAGUCGAUACGGGCAGGCUAGAGUUCGGUAGGGGAGACUGGAAUUCCUGGUGUAGCGGUGAAAUGCGCAGAUAUCAGGAGGAACACCGGUGGCGAAGGCGGGUCUCUGGGAUGAUGCUGACGCUGAGGCGCGAAAGCCAGGGGAGCAAACGGG